rnacentral:misc_RNA from 1 species
GAUGAAGAACGUAGCGAAAUGCGAUACGUAAUGUGAAUUGCAGAAUUCAGUGAAUCAUCGAGUCUUUGAACGCACCUUGCGCCCCCUGGUAUUCCGGGGGGCAUGCCUGUCCGAGCGUCAUUGCUGCCCUCAAGCACGGCUUGUGUGUUGGGCCUCCGUCCUCCUCCCGGGGGACGGGCCCGAAAGGCAGCGGCGGCACCGCGUCCGGUCCUCGAGCGUAUGGGGCUUCGUCACCCGCUCUUGUAGGCCCGGCCGGCGCUUGCCGACACAUCAAUCUUUUUUCCAGGUUGACCUCGGAUCAGGUAGGGAUACCCGCUGAACUUAAGCAUAUCAUAAGCGGAGGA